UACGGGGGGGGCAAGCGUUGUUCGGAAUCAUUGGGCGUAAAGCGCGUGUAGGCGGCCCGGUAAGUCCGCUGUGAAAGUCGGGGGCUCAACCCUCGGAAGCCGGUGGAUACUGUCGGGCUGGAGUACGGAAGAGGCGAGUGGAAUUCCUGGUGUAGCGGUGAAAUGCGCAGAUAUCAGGAGGAACACCUAUUGCGAAGGCAGCUCGCUGGGACGUUACUGACGCUGAGACGCGAAAGCGUGGGGAGCAAACAGG
rnacentral:rRNA from 1 species